CUGCCCGUCUGUUUGCCUGACUAACACGGUGGCUACACACGGACGACUCCGCUGGCAGUUCGAGCUGCCGAUAAAGCCGCCUUUGCAUAACGGUUUCCCAUCCAGCCCGGUAACCACUGACAUUUUGACCCGCUUUGACAUUCGCCGAUAAAACCGUAUAGGAAGCGACGACAGCGACAAUCAGUCGCGACUAGAGUUUCCGUCUGUCUUGGGGCUUCGGGAUUCUCGUACCGAGCGCAAAAGGGAGACAGACGGAGGGGGGGAGGGAGGCAACAAGCAGUCACGAGAAGAGCACACCGGGCAUGCAGUACAGCCUGUAAAACGAUCGUGAACCACGACGGAAUGCGAUCAACGAGUAUGACGCAUGUCGUUGCACGCGGGAGUAAAGUUCCCCAGGGUGAAUCAUUUCGCUGCGACACGAACAAGGUCGUUUUCACGAGGUCGUUUUCGACGUGAGGCGUCUCGCCGAAAUUAUUGUCAGUUGCGUAACAACGUGUAACGGCAGGGAAAACGCUAUGUGUAUCCAGGGACAGUCGUUUCACGAUCACGCAUCGGCACUUACGGCACAUCAUUAAACCCUUAUUCGAUCGAAAUAAAGUUGUGUACUGACAGCCGAGCCAUAAGCAAUGCACAACGCAGCCGACAGAUACCAACAUACACGACGGAAAACAACUCUAUGCCGCAGAGAGCACUGCCUGCCGUAUACCGUUACGUGCCUGAAUAAAUGGCAAAGCCGUAACGCGUCGCCAUUUACAAAAUCUGCCAACCACGUGGACUGCGCUUCUUCGCUCGUGUCGCGAGUACCAACAUCCAUUGAUCCACAGAACUGAAAACGUAGCAUGGGAUACGUGAUAUGCGCGGAAAGUAUCCAAAGGGCAGAUCGCGGCAAAUCUCAGAGGAUUUUUUAUAAAGAAUUCAUAAGCAUGUCGCCAAUGCCGGAAGGAGGGGUGUACUGUCGCAAUGAAAAUUCGUCACGAGGGAAAUAUGAUUAUUUUAUCGCAGUCGGACAUGACACGCUCGGAGAAAAUUAUUUAGCUUCUUUUUAUUGCUGCUGAUAAGCUAGGUUUAAUGGGACAUAAAUUGUGGAUGACUGUACACGAUUUUAAUUUUUACUAUUUUUUUUUACAAUCUUAAAGAAAUCUUUUUUUUUCAUUAUAACGUUACGAUCUAUCGAUUUUGAGAAUCGUGAAUCUCUCUUCAACAAUUGUAUAGUAUUACGUUAAUUACUUAAAUUAUUUGGUGGAUUCGGCGUGCUCGUGGUUUUUUAAUACACAUAUACUUUUUGUCCGUAUACCACGUGACACGUGUGUAUACGAGUGAAAAGUAAUAUUCUUACGGGAUUCAAUUUUUAGUACAAUUGUAUUUGGCUAAUGGUAAUUACGCGAACUUAUUUCGGAACCGAAAGCUAUUGCCUAUUGUCAAUAGCUUAUAACCUGAUCGAAACAUGGCCGAGCAUUGACACUAAAAAAAAAAUAUAAUUUUUACGCUGUAUACUCGAAAAUAUCCGAUAAUGAAAACUUGGCGCAAGAGACCCGCGGCUAAGUGUUCGUAUUAAAUAUAAAAGCGUUUAAUCGAAAAGUAU